UGCUGUUGAGGUACUUGGUGCUUUGAAGGUUAUAGAUGCUGAUACCGUGAGAAAUGUUAUCCCCUUUGUACUUAAUGGAGUUGAUCUAAAUGCGAAUGGAGGCUCUGACCACAAGUCACAGAUUCAGAUGUUCCCAAAGAAAGCAAUGGAGAGCCUUAAUGAAAUUAGGUGUUAAUUACUAAGUAACCUCCAACUGCAUCUAU